rnacentral:rRNA from 1 species
UACGAAGGGGGCAAGCGUUGUUCGGAAUUACUGGGCGUAAAGGGCGCGUAGGCGGUGCACUAAGUCAGGCGUGAAAUCCCCCGGGCUUAACCUGGGAACUGCGCUUCUAACUGGCAGGCUUGAGUGUGGCAGAGGGGGGUGGAAUUCCACGUGUAGCAGUUGAAAUGCGUAGAGAUGUGGAGGAACACCGAUGGCGAAGGCAGCCCCCUGGGCUAACACUGACGCUCAUGCACGAAAGCGUGGGGAGCAAACAGG